rnacentral:rRNA from 1 species
CCUACGGGAGGCAGCAGUAGGGAAUCUUCCGCAAUGGACGAAAGUCUGACGGAGCAACGCCGCGUGAGUGAUGAAGGUUUUCGGAUCGUAAAACUCUGUUGUUAGGGAAGAACAAGUACCGGAGUAACUGCCGGUACCUUGACGGUACCUAACCAGAAAGCCACGGCUAACUACGUGCCAGCAGCCGCGGUAAUACGUAGGUGGCAAGCGUUGUCCGGAAUUAUUGGGCGUAAAGCGCGCGCAGGCGGUUCCUUAAGUCUGAUGUGAAAGCCCACGGCUCAACCGUGGAGGGUCAUUGGAAACUGGGGAACUUGAGUGCAGAAGAGAAGAGUGGAAUUCCACGUGUAGCGGUGAAAUGCGUAGAGAUGUGGAGGAACACCAGUGGCGAAGGCGACUCUUUGGUCUGUAACUGACGCUGAGGCGCGAAAGCGUGGGGAGCAAACAGGAUUAGAUACCCUGGUAGUCCACGCCGUAAACGAUGAGUGCUAAGUGUUAGGGGGUUUCCGCCCCUUANUGCUGCAGCUAACGCAUUAAGCACUCCGCCUGGGGGAGUACGGUCGCAAGACUGAAACUCAAAUGAAUUGACGGGG